rnacentral:rRNA from 1 species
GAUGAACGCUGGCGGCGUGCCUAAUACAUGCAAGUCGAGCGAACAGACCAGGACCUUGCUCCUCUGACGUUAGCGGCGGAAGGGACAGUAACACGUGGAUAACCUAACUAUAAGACUGGGAUAACUUCGGGAAACCAGAGCUAAUACCGUAUAAUUUAUUGAACCUCGUGGUUCAAUAGUUAAAGACGGUUUUGCUGUCACUUAUAGCUAGCUCCGAGCCGCAUGCGCAAGUUGGUAACGUAACGGCUUACCAAGGCAGCGAUGCGUAGCCGACCUGAGAGGGUGAAGCGCCACACUGGGACUGAGACACGGUCCAGAAUCCUAGGGGAGGCAGAGGCAGGGAAUCUUCCGCGAUGGGCGAAAGCUUGACGGAGGAACGCCGCGUGAAUGAUGAAGGUCCGCGGACCGGAUAACUAUGUUAGUAGUGAAGAACAAAUGUGUAAGUAACGAUGCACUUCGUGACGGUACCUGAACAAAAAGCCACGGCUAACUACGUG